GCGUAUAUUAAAGUUGUUGCAGUUAAAACGCUCGUAGUCGGGUUUCGGGUCGGGCCGAGCGGUCUGCCGAUGGGUAUGCACUGUUUGGCGCGGCCUUCUUUCCGGAGACCGCGGCUACUCUUAACUGAGCGGGCGUGGGAGACGGAUCGUUUACUUUGAAAAAAUCAGAGUGUUUCAAGCAGGCAGCUCGCUCUUGCAUGGUACAGCAUGGGAUGAUUGAAUAGGACUCCGGUGCUAUUUUGUUGGUUUCGAACACCAGGAGUAAUGAUUAACAGGGACAGUCAGGGGCACUCGUAUUCCGUCGAGAGAGGUGAAAUUCUCAGACCAAUGGAAGACAAACCACUGCGAAAGCAUUUGCCAGGGAUGUUUUCACUGA
rnacentral:rRNA from 1 species